rnacentral:lncRNA from 1 species
UCGGUAGUUUGGGUUGUGACAGUCUCCUAACAAAAUUACAUAAUGAUGUAAUUUCUAUAUGCAUAAUAUUUUUUGCUCAUUGUGUAUUUGUAUUUUUAACACUUGUUUAACGGGUAUUUAGAGUGACAAGUCAAAAAUCUCACUAGAGUAUAUUUACAUAGAACUCAAUCAAUCACCUAUAUAUCCAUGCAUAUACUAUUACUAUGGAUGAGGCUAGUGGUUUAAGUUUUCGUUGAGUUAAUUCCUGUCAUGAUUCAAAUUAC